AGAGUUUGAUCCUGGCUCAGAACGAACGCUGGCGGCAGGCUUAACACAUGCAAGUUGAACGGGAUUGUUAAGUAGCUUGCUAUUUAACAAGAGAGUAGCGCACUGGUGAGUAACACGUGGGAACGUACCUUUUGGUGGGGGACAACAUCUGGAAACGGAUGCUAAUACCGCAUAAGACCUGAGGGUGAAAGAUUUAUCGCCGAAAGAACGGCCCGCGGAAGAUUAGGCAGUUGGUGGGGUAAAGGCCUACCAAACCUACGAUCUAUAGCUGGUCUGAGAGGACGAUCAGCCACACUGGAACUGAGACACGGUCCAGACUCCUACGGGAGGCAGCAGUGAGGAAUAUUGGGCAAUGGAGGCAACUCUGACCCAGCCAUGCCGCGUGAGUGAAGAAGGUUUUCGGAUUGUAAAGCUCUUUCGGAUGUGACGAUGAUGACGGUAGCAUCUAAAGAAGCCCCGGCUAACUUCGUGCCAGCAGCCGCGGUAAUACGAAGGGGGCGAGCGUUGUUCGGAAUUACUGGGCGUAAAGGGUGUGUAGGCGGUUAUGUAAGAUAGCGGUGAAAUCCCGGGGCUUAACCUCGGAAUAGCCGUUAUAACUAUGUAGCUAGAGUUAUGGAGAGGAUAGCGGAAUACCCAGUGUAGAGGUGAAAUUCGUAGAUAUUGGGUAGAACACCGGUGGCGAAGGCGGCUAUCUGGCCAUAUACUGACGCUGAGGCACGAAAGCGUGGGGAUCAAACAGGAUUAGAUACCCUGGUAGUCCACGCAGUAAACGAUGAAUACUAACUGUUCGGAGGGCGACCUCUGAGUGGUAAAGCGAAAGCGUUAAGUAUUCCACCUGGGGAGUACGCCGGCAACGGUGAAACU
rnacentral:rRNA from 1 species